rnacentral:lncRNA from 1 species
AAAAAAUAAAAAAAGGUGGAAAACCAAAAACCACAUAUCCCCUAGGAAAAAAAAGGUGGAAAAUCACGCUUUAAGGUGUUGUACCUAGAAAUUCAUGGAAAAUCAAUUCCCUGAAAAAUUUUCUCAAUCAAACAGGUCAAAAGUGGAAGUUGGAAUUCGAAUUCCAAGUUCCAUGGAAAAUUUCGUGCAAUCAAACGGAGCCCAAGUGUCACUCUAAGAAGUUAGCUCUCUCUAAUAAACUCUGCUGCAUCCUAUCCUCUACCAGUCCUAGUCAAGAGUCUUUAAAUUCCCAAAUUAAUGUAUGGCAC